rnacentral:rRNA from 1 species
UACAGAGGGGGCAAGCGUUGUUCGGAAUUACUGGGCGUAAAGGGCGCGUAGGCGGCCUGUUAAGUCGAACGUGAAAUCCCCGGGCUCAACCCGGGAACUGCGUCCGAUACUGGCAGGCUUGAAUCCGGGAGAGGGAUGCGGAAUUCCAGGUGUAGCGGUGAAAUGCGUAGAUAUCUGGAGGAACACCGGUGGCGAAGGCGGCAUCCUGGACCGGCAUUGACGCUGAGGCGCGAAAGCCAGGGGAGCAAAGCGGG